GAUGAACGCUGGCGGCGUGCUUAACACAUGCAAGUCGAACGAAGCACUUUUACAGAUUUCUUCGGAAUGAAGUUUUAGUGACUGAGUGGCGGACGGGUGAGUAACGCGUGGGUAACCUGCCUCACACAGGGGGAUAACAGUUGGAGACGGCUGCUAAUACCGCAUAAGCGCACAGUACCGCAUGGUACAGUGUGAAAAACUCCGGUGGUGUGAGAUGGACCCGCGUCUGAUUAGCUAGUUGGCAGGGCAACGGCCUACCAAGGCGACGAUCAGUAACCGACCUGAGAGGGUGACCGGCCACAUUGGGACUGAGACACGGCCCAAACUCCUACGGGAGGCAGCAGUGGGGAAUAUUUCACAAUGGGGGAAACCCUGAUGCAGCGACGCCGCGUGAGCGAAGAAGUAUUUCGGUAUGUAAAGCUCUAUCAGCAGGGAAGAAGAAAUGACGGUACCUGACUAAGAAGCACCGGCUAAAUACGUGCCAGCAGCCGCCGUAA
rnacentral:rRNA from 1 species